AAACUUGUUGGCAGUUUCUUUCUUAACUCUCUCGUGCCAAUGGAAAACAAGCCCGCUGCCAAACCCCAUUCAGUAAGAGGCACUAAUGAACCUCCAGCAAUCAGACCGUUGAUGUCAGACUUGUUAGCUGGGGCCAACAUUUGUGAACUUUGAUUUUUAAGCCAGCUUUCACACACACAUGCACAGGCACACGCACAUGCACACACACACACGUGCACACACGUACAAACACAUGCAUACACGUGCAUAUUUGGCAACAUUUUACUUCCCUGCUACCCGCUUAUCCAUGAACCCACCUUUUCCCCAAUCAUCUAGAGAUCUUUUACCUACUCCUAGGAAAGGUCAAGGUCACAAGUACAUAUCCUCAGUCUUCUGAUAACAGAGAAGCAGAUUCUAAUAUUCAAAAUGAAGCUACAAUGUAUGUGAGCUUCUUUUUUUCUUUUUCUUUUUCUUUUUUUUUUUUUUUGAGACGGAGUUUUGCUCUGUCGCCCAGGCUGGCGCAAUCUCUGAUCACUGCAACCUCCGCCUCCCAGGUUCAAGCGAUUCUCCUGCCUCAGCCUCCUGAGUAGCUGGGAUUACAGUCAUGUGCCACC
rnacentral:lncRNA from 10 species